rnacentral:lncRNA from 1 species
CCUACUCUAAUACAUAACCUCAGGGCAAGAUGAUCGAGAGAUCUGAUUCGCUGCUUUUCCAUCAGUGCGCUCACUGUAUACAUCGAUCUCUCAUCUCCCUAUGUGGAUCGGAUCAUAACAUGUUGAUUCUUCAUAGUGAUGAAAAAAAGGUGGGAGACACCAUUGGCAUCCUGAAAUAAAUACUGAAUAUGUUCGGCUUUUAAUUUGUUUCCGUUAAAGUCUUCUUCUGUUCUUUCUAUGAAAAUAAGAUAUUUAAAAUGUAUUUCCAGCAAUUUUUGUGCACCUGUCACAAAUUUUUCGCCCUCUCUCGAAGCACAGCGAUCCUAAAGGUUGUGAAUAUUUGGAAAAUUUCUGUUGAUGAUUAUGGAGAGCAGUCUUUUGAUGGCAGUAAUUGAGGCACAAACAAACUCUGUCACACAUCCAUUUGAAGGCAGUAAUCGAGGAACAAACAAACUUGUCCGGCAAAGUUUGCAAAACAUGCAUCUAGUGGCUCAGACGUGCCCAACUGGAGGAUCAGGGUUUGGGUUCUUAAUUGCAAUGACGGGAAGAUAAAUUUUGUUGAAACAAGGUGCCGUAUGAAACAAGGUGCGUCGCUUUGAACUUAGGUCAAGGGAUGCACGCAGGUUUUACCAUGAUGCAGCUGCAAGGGAAAACCGAACUUGCAAUGAUAUGUUACCUGGCAGGUGGACAUGUGAAGUCAGUGAGAAGAGGAGCUCAAGUCCAUACCCCGAUUGCCUCAAGAAUAUGUAGGGCGAAGAUUGCACACACUGAGCAUAGUGAUUUCUAUGCAAAUGCACCUAAUUAACUAGGCAUCUAUCAUUUACGUGUUCUAGGUCCACUUUUUUUAUGGUGGUGUUUUCUCAUUAACCAGAAUAUUGGUUGUUACAUGGAAGUUUACUUCUUCAUUCAAAAAGAGCCUUUAACAACCAUGUUGAUUGCUGUGUUGAUUAUUCAACCUUGGAGUUCUAAUUGUAACAUGUUGAUUGAUCAUAAUGUUUUAAUUUUUGUUUUCACUUUAAUUUGGGUACUAGUAAGAUGUAUUGAUAACAAAUAGAAUAUUUUUUUAUUG